AACGCGAAGAACCUUACCUGGGCUCGAACGGCUUUGGAUCGACGGUGGAAACACUGUUUUCCCGCAAGGGACCGGAGUCGAGGUGCUGCAUGGCUGUCGUCAGCUCGUGUCGUGAGAUGUUGGGUUAAGUCCCGCAACGAGCGCAACCCUUGUCCUGUGUUGCCACUCCGUAAGGAAGCACUCUCAGGAGACCGCCAGCGAUAAGUUGGAGGAAGGUGGGGAUGAUGUCAAGUCAUCAUGGCCUUUAUGUCCAGGGCUACACACGUGCUACAAUGGUCGGUACAAAGCGCUGCAAACCCGCGAGGGGGAGCUAAUCGCAAAAAGCCGGCCUCAGUUCGGAUUGCAGGCUGCAACUCGCCUGCAUGAAGCUGGAAUCGCUAGUAAUGCCGUAUCAGAAUGAUGGCGUGAAUACGUUCCCGGGCCUUGUACACACCGGCUAC
rnacentral:rRNA from 1 species